rnacentral:rRNA from 1 species
GACGUAGGGCGCGAGCGUUGUCCGGAUUUAUUGGGCGUAAAGAGCUCGUAGGUGGUUUGUCGCGUUGUCCGUGAAAACUCACAACUCAAUUGUGGGCGUGCGGGCGAUACGGGCAGACUGGAGUACUGCAGGGGAGACUGGAAUUCCUGGUGUAGCGGUGGAAUGCGCAGAUAUCAGGAGGAACACCGGUGGCGAAGGCGGUUCUCUGGGCAUGUCCUGACGCUGAGGAGCGAAAGUGUGGGGAGCGAACAGG